rnacentral:rRNA from 1 species
UACGUAGGGAGCAAGCGUUGUCCGGAAUCAUUGGGCGUAAAGCGCGCGUAGGUGGCCAUUUAAGUCCGCUGUGAAGGUCAAAGGCUCAACCUUUGAAAGCCGGUGGAUACUGGGUGGCUAGAGUACGGAAGAGGCGAGUGGAAUUCCUGGUGUAGCGGUGGAAUGCGCAGAUAUCAGGAGGAACACCAAUAGCGAAGGCAGCUCGCUGGGACGUUACUGACACUGAGGCGCGAAAGCGUGGGGAGCGAACAGG